CGGGAUGAGCUCAAAUUUAAAUCAAGCUGGUUUACUAGUCCGAAUUGUAGUUUAAAGAAGCGUUUUCGGUGGUAGGGCUGAGUAUAAAUCCUUUGGAAUAGGGUAUCAUAGAGGGUGAGAAUCCCGUCUUUGACUCAGAUUUUGCUACUAUGUGAUACGUUUUCAAA
rnacentral:rRNA from 1 species